AUGUGAUAUUCCUCAUGAUUGAUUUUAAGUGGCAAUUGUUCUACUAUCUUUUCCCUCACACGCUCCUAUUCUUUCAUCUGCUCCCCUUCAAACCCUAAUAGUCAUCUACUCUUUGGCGAUUUUUCAGAAAACCCUAAAUCUCAUCCCGUCGCUUUUUCUUAUCCUCAUAAACCAUGUUGCUCACUCCCUUAACCUAAACCUAAAUCGACUUCAUCUUCUCUUAUUUGACCUUUUCAGAAGACAAUAUAGGAAAAUCCAACAGCCCAACUGUGUUUCUCCUCCGUCCCGUCCCGUCCCGUCCCGUCUGGCAACCGAUUCUUCUCACCAACAACUUUGACACAGGUCUGUAUUUGGGAGUUCCCUACAGAACGCAUAUUUCAUUCGUUGAACACCAAUUUCUUUCAAAACUGGGUUUUAUCAUGAGGUUUCUUUUAGCUGGUUCGCCGGUGAUGGGGGUGAUGUGAUUUUUGAUUCGUUGUGGGUUUCACACAGAUUGACUAAGAAGGUAUCUUUUAUGUUGCAAGAUAUGCAUACACACCAAAGGUAUUGCAAUAUAUUAAGAACAAGGGUUACAAAGGAAAAUAGCUUUAAAAGUAGAAAAAAUGAAGAUGAUUUAGGCUAAAAGAUAUAUUUUGGUGUGUGUUUGAACCGAGACUUCUUUUUAUUCAAUUGUUCCGAAUUCCGAUGAGUUUCCGGCGGUCCAUCCGACGAAAGGGUAGGUAGUUCUAUUGUCUUAGAUUUCUCCUAAAAUUUAUAAACCAUAAAUCUGAUACUAAUGUCUUAACAGGUGAGCAUCUUCUUUGAUUUUACAAAACUUGAUUUAUUUUGUAGUAUAUUUAUGUGCAUUUUGCAGUAACACUUCAAUUGAGGAUGACAUUGAGAAAACUUGGUUUAAAUGCUUUUUUGUUUUAUAUGGAUAGAAAUCUUCUAUCAUUUAUAAAACAUGAACAAAGGUGGCAAGAUUCAAGGUGAGGUCAUUUUUUUUCAUAUUUUAUUUGUUAAUUUCAUGCAUUUAUAUAUGACAAAUGAAUACAUGAUGUCUGAUGUGAACAUGUUCCAUGAAAUGCCUCUGGAUAUUUUUUCUUCCUUUGGAAGCUUACCAAUGCUCAUUGAAUGAUUAUAACCAUCAAGGAUGUUGCAAAGAAGAUGUUCAAUAAGAUACGAGAGUUGGAUGAGUGACAAUUGAUGUUCGUUUAUCCUCUGCUCCUUCAUAAUCGCUCAACACACCUAAAACUCUCAAUUUUGCCUUCGAGUGUCAAUUUGUGAGAACAGUUACACUAAAACUAGUUUUAUCCAGAUUAAAAUAAAAACUUAACAUAGCCCUUGUAAUAUUUAGAAUAUUCAAUAACCUAUAAUCGGGACGUUAUAUUCAAUAACCUAUAAUCAAGACGUUACAUUCAAUAACCUAUAAUCAGAACGUUAGAGUC